rnacentral:rRNA from 1 species
GUAGGGGGGGCAAGCGUUGUCCGGAAUUAUUGGGCGUAAAGCGCGCGCAGGCGGUCUCUUAAGUCCGAUGUGAAAGCCCACGGCUCAACCGUGGAGGGUCAUUGGAAACUGGGGGACUUGAGUGUAGGAGAGGAAAGUGGAAUUCCACGUGUAGCGGUGAAAUGCGUAGAUAUGUGGAGGAACACCAGUGGCGAAGGCGACUUUCUGGCCUACAACUGACGCCGAGGUGCGAAAGCGUGGGGAGCAAACAGGAUUAGAUACCCUGGUAGUCCACGCCGUAAACGAUGAGUGCUAGGUGUUAGGGGUUUCGAUGCCCUUAGUGCCGAAGUUAACACAUUAAGCACUCCGCCUGGGGAGUACGACCGCAAGGUUG